rnacentral:rRNA from 1 species
UACGAAGGGGGCAUAGCGUUGUUCGGAUUUAGUCGUGGGCGUAAAGCGCAGACGUAGCGGAUCGUUAAGUCAGGGGUGAAAUCCCGGGGCUAACCCCAGAACUUGCCUUUGAUACUGGCGUAUCUCGAGUCCGGAAGGGGCGAGUGGAAUUCCUGGUGAGCGGUGAAAUGACGCAGAUAUCAGGAGGAACACCAACAGGCGAAGGCAGCUGCUGGGACGGUACUGACGCUAAGGCGCGAAAGCGAUGGGGAGCGAACGGAGGAAUUGAUGAAACCC